CAACGAGUGGCGGACGGGUGAGUAACACGUAGGUAACCUGCCCAGAAGCGGGGGACAACAUUUGGAAACAGAUGCUAAUACCGCAUAACAACGUUGUUCGCAUGAACAACGCUUAAAAGAUGGCUUCUCGCUAUCACUUCUGGAUGGACCUGCGGUGCAUUAGCUUGUUGGUGGGGUAACGGCCUACCAAGGCGAUGAUGCGUAGCCGAGUUGAGAGACUGAUCGGCCACAAUGGGACUGAGACACGGCCCAUACUCCUACGGGAGGCAGCAGUAGGGAAUCUUCCACAAUGGGCGCAAGCCUGAUGGAGCAACACCGCGUGAGUGAAGAAGGGUUUCGGCUCGUAAAGCUCUGUUGUUAAAGAAGAACACGUAUGAGAGUAACUGUUCAUACGUUGACGGUAUUUAACCAGAAAGUCACGGCUAACUACGUGCCAGCAGCCGCGGUAAUACGUAGGUGGCAAGCGUUAUCCGGAUUUAUUGGGCGUAAAGAGAGUGCAGGCGGUUUUCUAAGUCUGAUGUGAAAGCCUUCGGCUUAACCGGAGAAGUGCAUCGGAAACUGGAUAACUUGAGUGCAGAAGAGGGUAGUGGAACUCCAUGUGUAGCGGUGGAAUGCGUAGAUAUAUGGAAGAACACCAGUGGCGAAGGCGGCUACCUGGUCUGCAACUGACGCUGAGACUCGAAAGCAUGGGUAGCGAACAGGAUUAGAUACCCUGGUAGUCCAUGCCGUAAACGAUGAGUGCUAGGUGUUUGGAAGGGUUUCCGCCCUUCAGUGCCGGAGCUAACGCAUUAAGCACUCCGCCUGGGGGAGUACGACCGCAAGGUUGAAACUCAAAAGGAAUUGACGGGGGCCCGCACAAGCGGUGGAGCCUUUGUGGUUUAAUUCGAAGCUACGCGAAGAACCUUACCAGGUCUUGACAUCUUGCGCAACCCUAGAAAAUUAGGGCGUUUCCUUCGGGAACGCAUUGACAAGGUGGGUG
rnacentral:rRNA from 1 species